ACAAAAGAUCCAUCUUCCGGGGCGGGUUAAUGCCCGUUGACGACGAACUCUUCCUAUUCCAAGUCUCCGUCUGUCUGUCUGUACAUCGCGCAAUUGCAUCUGAAAUUUCAUUUUCAAUGUCAGUUUCCCAGCAACAUGAUUCUAUGAAGAGAACUGAGUUAGGAUCGGUGAAGAUUCAUCUUGACUGUGGAGAUGAGCAAGAACUACGACAACUGGGAGAGGCUGGUGCGUGCUGUUCUGCGGCGGGAGGGUGACAGGGAGCUAGCGUUGUUCCAUUCCGGGGAUCUCAGCAGCAUAGCAUCCAGCUCCCGAUCUUCUACUUCAGAUAUUAGUUUUAGCCAUGAAGAGUGGCUUGUUGAUCACAGUGAGUGGAAGGCGAUGCUACCACCUCAUCAACAGAUAGUAGCACGGAGAUCAGCUUUACGGCACAAGCACCGAAGAAUUAAAGAAGAAUGGGAGAUGGAUUCAGUGGCUCUUGAUGAUAUAAUAAACCGUUUGCUUGAGGUUCAAAGCAGGCCGGGGAAGCAGGUGAAGCUCUCGGAGUCGGAGAUCAGGCAGCUGUGUGUGCAGUCCAGACAGAUUUUUUUGCAACAGCCUAAUCUUCUUGAGCUGGAGGCACCCAUUAAGAUCUGUGGUGAUAUUCAUGGUCAGUAUUAUGACCUUCUAAGACUUUUCGAAUAUAGUGGAUCACCCUCAGAAUCUAAUUACCUAUUCCUAGGGGAUUAUGUCGACCGAGGGAAGCAAAGUCUAGAAACAAUCUGCCUUCUACUUGCGUAUAAGAUAAAGUAUCCUGAAAACUUUUUCUUACUAAGGGGCAGCCACGAAUGCAUAUCAAUCAAUCGCAUAUAUGGUUUUUAUGAUGAGUGCAAACAAAGGUUUAAUGUGAGACUAUGGAAAAUAUUCAACGAUUGUUUUGAUUGUCUACCUGUUGCAGCUCUAAUUGAUGACAAGUUGUUGUGCAUUCAUGGAGGUCUCUCACCUGACCUGGUUGGCUUAGAUCAGAUCAGAAAUCUACAGCGUCCAACUCAUGUCCCGGACUAUGGUUUACUAUGUGAUUUACUAUGGUCUGAUCCCAGUAAAGAUGUUCAAGGAUGGGGAAUGAAUGAUAGGGGUAUAUCAUAUAUAUUUGGUGCAGAUAAGGUGUCUGAAUUUCUUCUAAAGCAUGAUCUAGAUCUGAUUUGCCGUGCGCACCAGGUUGUUGAAGAUGGAUACGAGUUUUUCGCUGAUAGACAAAUGGUAACGAUAUUCUCGGCCCCAAAUUACUGUGGAGAGUUUGAGAAUGCUGGUGCGAUAAUGAGUUUGGACGAGAACUUGAUGUGCAGUUUUCAAAUAUUAGAACCUGUCAGAGAGAAACCCAAGUUUGGAUUUGGGAGUACAACAACAACUAAAGAACCAGGACGUCCUCAAACAAAAACAAAGUCAUUUCUUGGUGGUAGAAUAGGGUGAGAUCAAUUAGCUUACAAAGAUACAAGAAAUCUGCAUUCCGCGACAUCUGACAUAUCGGGUCGAAGGCAGUGCUUUAAUUUUCGGAUCGUCAUGCUGUUUGGAAGUUAGCAAGGUGGAACGGAAUAUAGAAGAUUUCUUCCCAAGAGUAAAACUGGGGAGCCUGGAAUGAAGGGUAAACCGUCAGGAUGCACACGGCACAAUUAAUAGAUAUUAACAGAAAGCAUGUGGAAACUAUACCUCAUGCCACCAUUGAACUACUUGAGCUCGGCUCGCAUUAGAUUUAAAUAAAACGUACAGAUUCGAGUUUGAUUUGAUUAUUAAUCAAAUGCAACUCAAAUACAA